AGAAAAAACUAAUAAUAACAAUAAUAUUAAUAAUAAUAAUAAAAGAAAUAAAUUAACCACAUAAUAAAAGUAGAAUUUCACAGCAACACCCAUAAAACAGAACUUAAGGUAGAAAUGAUGGAGUGACCUUAAGAACAGAUUCUUGGACCUAGGGAUGAAAUCUGAUUUUAGGGUGUUCGGAAGGGUGUUUCAAGAAAGGAUACACUGGUUAUGACCAUGUUGUUGAUACCAGACGAAUGAACAAAUUAAGAACUGAAUUAAGUCGUAGAAACAAAGAAUUUUGGAUGUCACUUGGAAAACUUCUUGGGCAGAAACUUCUUCGGGCAUUUAUAUAAAUGAAACUCCAGGACAUUUCAAGAUUCAAUUCACAUUUUCAGGAGAUUGUAUCAUAAAAUCAACAACAGGUAUGCCAUGAGAAAAUGGAACAUAUUUUCCUAAUUUUAACACAAUGUUUCAGAUUUUUCUUUUUGAUAAUAAAUAUUAACAAUGUUUACAAAUACUUUAAAUAUAUGGUGUAGUUUUAAUUAUUUUCCCUUUUUCAACCACUCUAUAAGGAACCUGAAAUAAAUGGUCUUUAUCAAAAAAAAAUUUUAUAAGUACUUAUAACUUACCUCAGAUACUUCAUGAUUAUGUUCAUUGUUUAAAUCUUGCAAGAUUAAUGUUUGUCCAUCUUCUGAUGCUUUAAAACUUAAGA